GUUUCACAGUUGAAGAGGAGAAGCUGGGACUAGCAGGCUUCACAAGGAACACAAAGGUAUAGCCUUGCUCACUGCAUAUCCACUGACCUGACCCAUAGUACAACUCCAGUAGGAAUUGUUGGACAGACAACUGAAUGAGGAGACUAAACUGUAGCCAGCUCUAGAGAUUAAAAAAAGUCAUGGAGAUUCAGAAAGACAGGAAGUUACUGCAUAGAAAGGUUAACACCCACCCUCACCUUCUACAAACAGCCUCAGCUAAAGAUACCUGGGAGGAGCUUGUAGAAGAUGCCACUCUGCAAUCCAGAGGAAAAUGUCUCUCCCUUUCAGCGGAUCAUUUCUACCAAGGUCAAACUCACAUUUUAUAUUUUGUAUGAAAAAAAAUCAGAUGUUUAAUUUUUCAUGUAAUCAAAGAACAAUAACAAAAGCAAACCUUCACUUGAGGACUGACUCUGGACUGGUUCUGGAAGCUGUACAAGGGACAUCCCCAGCCACGUGGUAACUGACAUGGGCCCACAAUUAAUAUGCAUUAAAUCAGUCACUCCUCAAGUCAAA
rnacentral:sRNA from 1 species